rnacentral:rRNA from 1 species
AUUGAACGCUGGCGGCAGGCCUAACACAUGCAAGUCGAACGAGUGGCGGACGGGUGAGUAAUGUCUGGGAAACUGACUGAUGGAGGGGGAUAACUACUGGAAACGGGAGCUAAUACCGCAUACCAUCAGCAGUGCCCAGAUGGGAGUAGCUAGUAGGUGGGGUAAUGGCUCACCUAGGCGCCGAUCCCUAGCGGGUCUGAGAGGAUGACCGGCCCCACUGGAACUUAGACACGGUCCAGACUCCUACGGGAGGCAGCAGUGGUGAAUAUUGCGCUAGUGGCGCAAGCCUGAUGCAGCCAUGCCGCGUGUGUUAAGAAGGCCUUCGGGUUGUAAAGCACUUUCAGCGAGGAGGCGUUACUCGCAGAAGAAGCACCGGCUAACUCCGUGCCAGCAGCCGCGGUAAUUC